rnacentral:rRNA from 1 species
CAGCCGUAAACUAUGCGCGUUAGGUGUACUGGUGACCACGAGUCACCGGGGUGCCGAAGGGAAACCGUGAAACGUGCCGCCUGGGAAGUACGGUCGCAAGGCUGAAACUUAAAGGAGUUGGCGGGGGAGCACCACAACGGGUGGAGCCUGCGGUUUAAUUGGACUCAACGCCGGAAAUCUCACCGGAUAGGACAGACAUAUGAUAGUCGGGCUGAAGACUCUACUUGAUGAUCUGAGAGGAGGUGCAUGGCGUCAGUGACU